AGUGAAGCGGCAACAGCUCAAAUUUGAAAUCUGGCCCUCGUGGUCCGAGUUGUAAUUUGUAGAGGAUGCUUUUGGUUAGGUGCCUUCCGAGUUCCCUGGAACGGGACGCCAUAGAGGGUGAGAGCCCCGUCUGGUUGGAUACCGAGCCUCUGUAAAGCUCCUUCGACGAGUCGAGUAGUUUGGGAAUGCUGCUCUAAAUGGGAGGUAUAUGUCUUCUAAAGCUAAAUAUUGGCCAGAGACCGAUAGCGCACAAGUAGAGUGAUCGAAAGAUGAAAAGCACUUUGAAAAGAGGGUUAAAAAGUACGUGAAAUUGUUGAAAGGGAAGCGCUUGUGACCAGACUUGGGCCCGGUCAAUCAUCCAGGGUUCUCCCUGGUGCACUUGGCCGGCCCAGGCCAGCAUCAGUUUGUCGCGGGGGAUAAAGACGUUGGGAAUGUGGCUCCUCCGGGAGUGUUAUAGCCCUUCGUGUAAUACCCUGCUUCGGACUGAGGUUCGCGCAUCUGCAAGGAUGCUGGCGUAAUGGUCAUCAGCGACCCGUCUUGAAACACGGACCAAGGAAUCGUCUUCGUAUGCGAGUGGUCCGGUGUCAAACCCCUACGCGUAAUGAAAGUGAACGCAGGUGAGAGCUUCGGCGCAUCAUCGACCGAUCCUGAUGUUCUCGGAUGGAUUUGAGUAAGAACAUACGGGGCCGGACCCGAAAGAAGGUGAACUAUGCCUGUAUAGGGUGAAGCCAGAGGAAACUCUGGUGGAGGCUCGCAGCGGUUCUGACGUGCAAAUCGAUCGUCCAAUAUGGGCAUGGGGGCGAAAGACUA
rnacentral:rRNA from 1 species